GCGUGCUCACGCGCGAGCUUAUUACCUCAAGCUAGCAUUAGCGGCGCCAAAAUAAUGGUGAGCAAUAUUGGAUCAAUCUAGCCGUACAGUUUUGACCCAGGUACCAGCUUGGACGAGGAAAAUGGAUGGAGAAAUGGGAGAAGGAGGAGCGAGUGGGCCGCAGUGAGGGCAGGAGUUCCCACAACCCACCUGGCAGAACGUGUCCCUCUCUGCCCAUUUUUUGCCCCAGUCAGUGGUGGAUAUGGUGGGUGGGGAUGAGGGCAUGCCCUUGCAGAGGCCGCAGGUGGUGUUGUAAAGGACUCGGGGUAUGGUCACCUGGAGGAGCGUGUUCCAGUCGAAAGCAACCUUCAGGCCAAAGUCCGUCUCCAGGAUCAGCAGCAUGCCCAGGGUGAAGAUGUUGACCUUUCCUGGGCCCAGCUUCAAAGUGAAGUUUAAAUACGACAGCGGCACCAGACGCUUGGGAAUUUGGAGACACCUGAAGGGACGAGGGAGACUCCAACAUGAAUUCCAGUCAACAAGCCAUGUAAACAAACAAACAAAGGAUUCUUAACUAACUCAUAUUACGCUUAUGGUUUAAGAAAUAAUCUUUUUUUUUUUUAGAACUUCGGUUGUUCUUAAGGAGCGGGUCUUGGGGGUAAAAGAGCACCAAAGGGUGGGCUUUUCUGGGAAGCACGGAUAUCCCACCAAGGAUUAAAGCAGUUGGGAGGAAAAGCGGGAAGAGGGAAUGCCCCCGAAACUGGAGCCGGGCUGACACUUCCAGCCCGACUGGAGCGGUCCUCCCAGAAACAGAGAAGGUCUGCAGAAUUACAUCGUCCCCACAGCCAAGCAUUCAGGCUGCGAAACAGAGCGCUGCGUGUUGGAGGCUCGUACAGUACAUUCUGGCUGUAACAAGAGCGAUGAGUCACUCCAAACGCCGCCUCAAUCGAGAUGUUGAAAUGGUCUGCUUAACAUGUAAGCAAACACUUUGAGAACAAGAUCUUUAUCUCGCCACCAAACUGUUGGAUCGAACCGCUGACCCCGUGACCUCUUCUUCCACUAAAACUUUCUUUCUCCAAAAUAUUUUUGAUUCUUUGAAAUUGCAGCUUUUUCAUUUCCUAAGCAGCUGAGGUUUUGUCGAAUCCCCUGAAUUCAUCAGUCUGUGAUUCCAGCUCCUUUACCUGCGGUCCACAUGGUCACUCGGUUUCUGAAAAGGCCUCGUCACCUGUCAUGGUUGGCGUAGCAUCGGAGGGGGCUGAAACCUGAGUUCAGAGACACGCAGGAUAAGAAAAUCACUUCGCAUUGAACAAACAAGAAGUGCUUCUGUGACGGACUGCACAUGAAGAAAAGCAAUAGUGUUUUCUGAAACUUAUCGUUUCCCUGGUUACUCAAUUCCACCUUUUUUUUAAACAACGAUCUUUAAAAAGGUUUCCUGAUUAUCUGCCUGCUCAUUCAGCAGCUAAACACUGACAAAUGAAUAAUGUCACCUACCAGACAUAACUGAAGGUCAGAAAAUAUUUUAUUUUGUAGCAGAUUUAAAAAAAACACUCAUUCCUUAACGAGUUCAUAUAUUUUAGUAACAUAAACACAUUAAAAAAUGAUCAACUAAAAGGAUUUGGAGCAAUCUUUUUGUAGUUUAUAACUAAACUAUGACUGAAAUGAACAAAUUACAUGUAAAAAAUGAAAAGCUAAUAAAACAGCUUACAACAAACUUGGGCAUGUAGCACAAAGAUAAAAAAAUAUGUGUAUUAGGUGUCCCAUAGAGUAAGAUCUAAAUGUAAAAUCAUCAGAAAAAGCUGAAAAUAAGUUCAAUAGUGCAAUGUGUACAAAUAUAUAUAUUAACUGUCUAAAAAAAUA